UACGUAGGGGGCAAGCGUUGUCCGGAAUCAUUGGGCGUAAAGCGCGUGUAGGCGGCUCGGUAAGUCCGCUCUGAAAGUCCAGGGCUCAACCCUGGGAUGCGGGUGGAUACUGCCGGGCUCGAGUCCGGAAGAGGCGAGUGGAAUUCCCGGUGUAGCAGUGGAAAUGCGUAGAUAUCGAGAGGAACACCAGUGGCGAAGGCGAGUCCCUGGACAACACCUGACACUGAGGCACGAAGCUAGGGGAGCAAACAGG
rnacentral:rRNA from 1 species